AGCAUGCUCUUUUCUCCCUGCACCCUACAGAGCUGCCUUUGAAGUCACAUGUGCUCCACAGGGCACAGACAGAAACAAAAAUCAGGCACUUAAGUUUUCUGCAGCCGGUUUAGUAUGAGACAGUGUGCUUCCAGCAUUUUAUACAACAGUCAUUUCAGCUCCCUCUCCUUCGAUAUGAUGAGCUUUUGUCUCAUGCCCUGGAAUUUAAAUCCGCGCUUCCCUCUGGUUAUACCUUCUGGUCCCAGGGACAGCCUCAGGACUUGGCCCAGCUGCCUGGAUCUGGUUCAGGCCCUGCCUGGAUGGACCGACUCCAGCUCUCGGCUUGUAGGAACUGGGGCUGACUCUGCAGCCACCUGGCAAGAGCUGGCUGGCUUUGCAGCCUUCUGGACUUCCCUGAACAGCUCACUGGGGUGCUUCAAGCCCCCCUCAUCUCUUCAUUCUGCCUUACCAGGGCUAUGGGAUAAAACACAGCUAUCCAUUCUUCCUGCCUCAACUAAAAGAUACUGAGUUUAGAGAAUGGAAGGAUCCUGAGCCAGUGUUACAUAAGUGAGAGCUAAAAGGUAGGAAGGGGGGAAACAAAAACAUUUCAUAUUUUCCAAUGCAUAAAGUUACCUGCUCGGUGAACUCAAAAGGGAAAAAAAUCAAAAUAGUGUAUUUCCAGCAUAAAAGAGUUUAUUGUAGGAUAUUAAAAGUGGCACCUUUUUUUUUUGGCAGGAAAGCUAGAACUGAAAGGAAUCUUAAAGACCAACUAAUCCAAUUACUUAACGAGGUGGAAAGUGCUGCCCAGAAGUCAGUGGUUCAGACUAAUAGGGUGGUGUCAAGGAGACAUGCAAACCCUCUAGAAGGAGCCUCCACUGGCCCAAGACAGGACAAUUUGAAUAUCAAAAAGAAGGACUGCAACUGAUUCAAACGUAUCAAUUCUAUAAAGUCCGUGAGUGUAUAAUGAGUUGAUAAGAGGUCCUUCCACCUCCACCCCCAAAACAGUAAAGAACAGCUCACUAGUGACCACCAGUAAAAGGUUCUGGAGCCCCAAUUCAUCAUUCUGACAAAUGAUAAAUACAAGGCAAGGCUGAAUAACAUACCAUUUUCUCUUUCCAAACUGUAUUCAGGAUAACCAAGUAACUGAUGAUGGAAACUUCACCCAUUUAAAAGAAUCCCAGCGAAUAAAAGCAGAAAUUAUCACGGAACUAGAAAAAUU
rnacentral:lncRNA from 1 species